rnacentral:rRNA from 1 species
GAUGAACGCUGGCGGCGUGCCUAAUACAUGCAAGUCGAGCGAACGGACGAGAAGCUUGCUUCUCUGAUGUUAGCGGCGGACGGGUGAGUAACACGUGGAUAACCUACCUAUAAGACUGGGAUAACUUCGGGAAACCGGAGCUAAUACCGGAUGAUAUUUUGAACCGCAUGGUUCAAAAGUGAAAGACGGUCUUGCUGUCACUUAUAGAUGGAUCCGCGCUGCAUUAGCUAGUUGGUCAGGUAACGGCUUACCAAGGCAACGAUGCAUAGCCGACCUGAGAGGGUGAUCGGCCACACUGGAACUGAGACACGGUCCAGACUCCUACGGGAGGCAGCAGUAGGGAAUCUUCCGCAAUGGGCGAAAGCCUGACGGAGCAACGCCGCGUGAGUGAUGAAGGUCUUCGGAUCGUAAAACUCUGUUAUUAGGGAAGAACAUAUGUGUAAGUAACUGUGCACAUCUUGACGGUACCUAAUCAGAAAGCCACGGCUAACUACGUG